CCCUUGAAAAACGCCGCGUCCUCGCCGUGGCGUGUAAGGCUUGAGGCUUGAACUCGCCGCCACGCUAUGCCUUAUGCCUUUUUGAACCUUGGGUAAUAGGAAAAAUAUUUUUCCAGUUGUUAACAUGUAAUAGGAUUUAUUUACUCACAUUCCCCUACACUGCAAGCACUUCUCGCAUCACUUCCAUUGGUACCCUACAACUCUUUGGAAGAUUGAUAAACACCAUGUAAGAUCCUUUUACAUCCACAGAUAUUUAAGAAUAAGUCCCUGUUGCUAUGGAUGUUCCUAGAACCAAGCAAAACUGGUUUUCAAGUACCUUAGGGGCCAUUUACCAAACGCUUAGCGGGUAAGUGCUUUACCUGCAAGAGUCACCAUCCGCACUUACGUUGUUGGGUAACAUUAUUGGCCAUUAGAAUGGAUUGUUGAUGAGCUUUUUUUACCCGGCAAGCGCUUACCAGUAAGAUUCCAGUUCUUGUAAUGCUCACCCGGUAAGAUAAGUGAUACCGGAUAAGCGCUUGCCCCGUAAGCGUUUGGUAAACGACCCCUUAGUCUCAACUCUUAACUUGCUCAAUAACAUGUUUCUGUAGUUUCAUUUUGCACUCAGCGUGAUGCCGUGAUCAUUUAAUAGUUCACGCUGUUUCGAGUAUCCACUUGUUCCUUAGUUUCAUUGUUUCUGUAAUUUCUUACCUUAUCUGAGCCAACUUGCAUACAUCAUUAGCUCCUCUUCUGUUCCUACUUUCUUAUAUAGUUCCUCUUAUUCUCAUGUGUAUGCUCUCUUACUCUUCUGUGUCCACGUCUCUUGUUACUUCCAUAGAUUAUGUUGUCUAGUUUGUUCAUCUCUAUGUUCAAAAUCUUAUGACCAUCUAAGAGUUUUACAGCAUCCCUUGGUUUCUUUGUUAAAAUUUCUUGCUCCUUGUUCCACCAUCAUGUGUCUUUAGUUUAAUCUGUACUUUGGGUACUUUAUUUGAAGGUCUCCAUCAUACUUUGAUACUGUUUUUAUGUUCUCUACACUAUUAUAAAUUGGUGCAAUGUUUUAGCCUUCUUCACCACACUUUUUCUUUCAAGAUUACUGGGUGCACUGAAAGAAUUCUAAUAAUGUAUUCCCUUGGCUUUCUUAUUAUAAGAGAAUAUGACUUCUCAUGAAACAAUCUAUACUUAAGUUAUCAAGUAUCAAGUAAUACCAAGGGCAACAGGAGAACUGCUGGUAAUAUGUUUGUGGACAGAAGAGAAGUUCCUGCAGAUUACAGAAUUCAAAGUUUAGAAGAAUUUAAGUUUGCUUAUUUCAAUAGGGUUACAAGUAACUUCACUAAUGAUCAACUCUUGGUUAUGGGAGGUUUUGUAAAGGCAUUCUUCGAGUUGGGUUCGGUUGGUUGCAGUACAUGUUCGCCCCUUCAACACCUGGUGCUGGAAUUGCUGGAGCUGUUAAAGAGGCUUGAUGAAGCAUAGUUGGCAAGGAUCUGAUGAAUGGCAUGGCAGGAUUUUAAUGCAAAAUUGGGGGAUUUCGGAUUGGCGAAAUUUGGUCAUGAAUACGGGGAAACACGUGUCAUAGGUACCUAAUGUUAUGUGGACCCAAAUUAUUGUGAGACAGGUAUGUUACUGUAGAAUGAAGUUAUGUUGAGAAGUCGUGCAUAGGUGAUUUUUGAAUGAGCAAUCACAAUUUUACUUAGCUUUUCGUUACUUCGUAAAUCAUAAGAAUGACAUUUUCAAAUAAAUUGUGGAAAUGUAAAUAUUAUAAGAACAUCGUGCUUGUCACUUUUGGUCC